rnacentral:misc_RNA from 1 species
GAUGCAGAACGUAGCGAAAUGCGAUACUUGGUGUGAAUUGCAGAAUCCCGUGAACCAUCGAGUCUUUGAACGCAAGUUGCGCCCGAAGCCAUUAGGCCGAGGGCACGCCUGCCUGGGCGUCACACGUCGUUGCCCCCCCAUCUACUCCUUCGGGAUUGCGGGGGGCGGAUGAUGGCCUCCCGUGCGCCUCGUCGCGCGGUUGGCAUAAAUGCCAAGUCCUCGGCGACGCACGCCACGACAAUCGGUGGUUGCGAAACCUCGGUUGCCCGUCGUGUGCGGUCGUCGCGCAUCGAGGGCUCGAAAAAAUUGUCGGGCUCCGGCUCGGCUUUCAACGCGACCCCAGGUCAGGCGGGGUUACCCGCUGAAUUUAAGCAUAUCAAUAAGCGGAGGA